rnacentral:rRNA from 1 species
CCUACGGGUGGCAGCAGUGAGGAAUAUUGGUCAAUGGACGAGAGUCUGAACCAGCCAAGUAGCGUGAAGGAUGACUGCCCUAUGGGUUGUAAACUUCUUUUAUAAAGGACUAAAACGAGGCACGUGUGCCUUUUUGCAUGUACUUUAUGAAUAAGGAUCGGCUAACUCCGUGCCAGCAGCCGCGGUAAUACGGAGGAUCCGAGCGUUAUCCGGAUUUAUUGGGUUUAAGGGGAGCGUAGAUGGGUUGUUAAGUCAGUUGUGAAAGUUUGCGGCUCAACCGUAAAAUUGCAAUUGAUACUGGCAGUCGUGAGUACAGUUGAGGUAGGCGGAAUUCGUGGUGUAGCGGUGAAAUGCUUAGAUAUCACGAAGAACCCCGAUUGCGAAGGCAGCUUACUAAACUGUGACUGACAUUGAUGCUCGAAAGUGUGGGUAUCAAACAGGAUUAGAUACCCUUGUAGUC